CCUACGGGCGGCUGCAGUGGGGAAUAUUGGACAAUGGGCGAAAGCCUGAUCCAGCCAUGCCGCGUGUGUGAAGAAGGCCUUCGGGUUGUAAAGCACUUUCAGUGGGGAAGAAAGCCUUGGGGCUAAUACCCUCGAGGAAGGACAUCACCCACAGAAGAAGCACCGGCUAACUCCGUGCCAGCAGCCGCGGUAAUACGGAGGGUGCGAGCGUUAAUCGGAAUUACUGGGCGUAAAGCGCGCGUAGGCGGUCUGAUAAGCCGGUUGUGAAAGCCCCGGGCUUAACCUGGGAACGGCAUCCGGAACUGUCAGGCUAGAGUGCAGGAGAGGAAGGUAGAAUUCCCGGUGUAGCGGUGAAAUGCGUAGAGAUCGGGAGGAAUACCAGUGGCGAAGGCGGCCUUCUGGACUGACACUGACGCUGAGGUGCGAAAGCGUGGGUAGCAAACAGGAUUAGAUACCCCAGUAGUC
rnacentral:rRNA from 1 species